rnacentral:lncRNA from 1 species
CAAUUUCCUUAGGAAUUCAGUGAAAUCAACAACAACCUAUGCUUGCUCAUAAAUCAGAUGUACAGCACUGUCUUCAUAGAACCUUGGAAGCAGAAGAUUAAAAUAUAUUCCUGAUACCCUGCCUGUGAAGGAGCAGUUUGUCUACACCAACACAGAAUAAGAGCUCAUAGACACUGAUGUUGAAAGAGUUAUGGCAAAGGCUAUUAUUCCCCACUGACUUUCUUCAGACACAAUGAACAGAUCUGCUAGCAUUAGCGGAGUUAUCCUCAAACACAAAGUGAGAAAAAAGGUAAGGUAAAAGAACACAUUUAUCUUAGCCACCGCUGAAAUGAUACCCACCACUCUCUGUGGUGGCAGUUUCUCUACUUAAGACUAGCUGCCUUGUAGGAAACGAACGGGAUUGACACUGGGUUUUUAAAUGAUCAUGUUUCCAUUGUCCCAUGCAAAAUAAAAACCAUAUGUUAUGGAGAGUAUAUAGG